UAAACCACCACUUCUAUCAGUCUAGGUGGUUAUAAACCACCACUUCUAUCAGUCUAGGUGGUUAUAAACCACCACUUCUAUCAGUCUAGGUGGUUAUAAACCACCACUUCUAUCAGUCUAGGUGGUUAUAAACCACCACUUCUAUCAGUCUAGGUGGUUAUAAACCACCACUUCUAUCAGUCUAGGUGGUUAUAAACCACCACUUCUAUCAGUCUAGGUGGUUAUAAACCACCACUUCUAUCAGUCUAGGUGGUUAUAAACCACCACUUCUAUCAGUCUAGGUGGUUAUAAACCACCACUUCUAUCAGUCUAGGUGGUUAUAAACCACCACUUCUAUCAGUCUAGGUGGUUAUAAACCACCACUUCUAUCAGUCUAGGUGGUUAUAAACCACCACUUCUAUCAGUCUAGGUGGUUAUAAACCACCACUUCUAUCAGUCUAGGUGGUUAUGAACCACUUCUAUCAGUCUAGGUGUUUAUGAACCACUUCUAUCAGUCUAGGUGGUUAUAAACCACCACUUCUAUCAGUCUAGGUGGUUAUAAACCACCACUUCUAUCAGUCUAGGUGGUUAUAAACCACCACUUCUAUCAGUCUAGGUGGUUAUAAACCACCAC